UUUAUACAUCAGGAGCUAAAUCACUGAGAAAUUUGUGUUUUGUCAGGAGAAGUCAGUGGCAGAGAGAUAAAUGGCUGUGGAGUGCCUGAACCACAAAGCUGCCAUAGAUCAGUGGAAAUGAUGGACCAUGGAGCUACCCACUGGGUUUGUAAGCCUUUGAAACUCAGUAUCAUCAGAAAUUUUGUGA
rnacentral:lncRNA from 1 species